rnacentral:lncRNA from 1 species
AGCCUGGGAGCUGCGAGAAGGGAAGGACAGGUCAGCUCUGGGUGCAGAGACCCCUCUGGGGCUGCAGGCACAGAAUGGAGGGGGAACCAGAAGCCAGGAGGCCCGGGAGGAGGCUGGGAGGGGCGAGGCAGGGCUUGAGCUAGGCCCCUGAGGGCGACAGAGAGGAGGGUCUGAGGCUGGUGGGCCCUGGGAGGUGAGGAGGCAGGAAUGAGUGGAAGGUGUCCAGGGGCCUGGAUGAACCUGGGGAUCCCCGUUAGGCACCUGCAGAAGUGGGGGACUCAGGCACAGGGAGGCAAGGGGUCCCUGGCUUGGGGUGUGUCCCCUCCUGGAGCCACAGGCCCAUGCGCCCAGGCAGGCAGUUCAUCCAGGCAGCCCACAAGCUGCCCAUGCACCCCUGGCAAGGUGGAGCUGAUGCCCCGCAGGACACACUCAUGAAAGCCCUGGCUGCGCAUGGACCAGGGUGUGGCAGGUUCUGGUUUGCAAGUUUUCCCAAGGUCAAAGGGCAGGUCGUAAAGUUAAAAGCCAGACAGCACCGGAGGGGAAACUGCUGGGGGUUGCAGACUCCCGAACGGCUCUGGCCCCAUCCCAUCCAGAUCCCUGCACCUCCUGCCCGCCCACCGGGCUCCCCACGCCUCUGCUGGUGUGGGUCUCGCUCUCUGCCCCAUCUGGGUGUCUGGCCCCGGGCCCCUGGCUAACCCCCUCUGUCUCUGUGUCUCCCUCUCUCGCUUCGCCUGUCUCAGCCUCCCUUCUCUAUCUCUCUUGCUGGGCAUUUCUCUCCACCCCUCUCUGUCUCUUUGACCCUGUCUCUCUGUCUCUCCCACGGUCUCUCUCAGUCUCUCCUCAGCUCGCUGUCUCUCCCCUCUGUCUGUGUCUCUCCCCUUCUCUCAGUGCCCCUGGGCCCCUCCCUGCCACCCUGUGCCUGUCGCCUGUCCCAUCGCAGGUCCCAGACAGACUGGCGGGGGCCUGAGUGUUGCUAUUCUUGGGCCUGAGUGGCAGGCGGGGCUGUGGCCCCCAGGUGCGUCCUGGGCUAUGGCCAAAUAAGGUCCGGAGUGAGGAGCCCCGGGAGGAGGAGCUGGGGGCGCUGGGGGUGGGGGGAGAGGGGCCAGCUGACCUCCUCCUGCUCCCACUCCCUCCUGCCCCAACCCCCAUAUUCUGGCAGGUGAGAGCGGGCAGGACAGACCAGGUCAUUGCAUCAACUAAGCACUUACUGUCUGCCCCUCACAGUGCAGAGCGCCUGUGCCCCCACCCGCUGGGACUGCUCUUCCCAGGGGAGCGCCUCAGGACUCAGAGGGCUACCGCUUGCCCCAGGGCACCCGGCCAGGCCUGUCCCAGAGCUGAGGGGGCUGGGGCGCCCCGCACAGAUGCCAGUGGCCUCUCCACACCCCCAGGCUGCAGAAAGGGAGAGGGAGGGGCUGUGGUCAAGAGGCAGGCGCAGGGCAGGUGCGGGGGGAGGGGGACAGCUGUCCCACACCCCCUGGUGGUGACAGCUGCUGCCCGAUUUAGCUCACAGAGCCGGGUCUGGCCAGAUAAGGCAGUUGGGUGGGGGGGCGGUCUCACCCCCAGGGCACCCCUUAAAUCGCACAGUCGGGCCCAGGGUUCAGCUGCCACCGACGCCAGGUGAGAGGGGCUGUUCUUUCCUCGACCUCCUGCCGCAAGGCUCCGCGCGUCUUCUCUCGCUGUCUCCCUCCGUCUCUCUCUCCCUCUCUCUCUCCGUCUCCCUCUCUCCCUGUCUCUCUCUCCCUCUGUCUCCCUCUCUCCCUCUGUCUCUCUCUCUCCCUGUCUCUCUCUCCGUCUCUCUCUCUCCCUCUGUCUCUCUCUCCGUCUCCCUCUGUCUCUCUCUCUCCAUCUCUCUCUCUCUUUCUCCCUCUCUCCCUCUGUCUCUCUCUCCGUCUCUGUCUCCCUCUCUCUCUCUCUGUCUCUCUCUCCCUCUGUCUCCCUCUCCCUCUGUCACCCUCUCUCCCUCUGUCUCUCUCUCUCCCUGUCUCUCCCUCUGUCUCUCUCUCUCCAUCUCUCUCUCUCCGUCUCUCUCUCCGUCUCCCUCUGUCUCUCUCUCUCCGUCUCUCUCUCUCCCUCUCUCCGUCUCUCUCUCUCCGUCUCUCUCUCUCCCUCUCUCCCUCUGUCUCUCUCCGUCUCUCUCUCCCUCUCUCUCUCUCUCCUUCUCUCUCCCUCUCUCUGUCUCUCUCUCCCUCUGUCUCUCUCUCCGUCUCUCUCUCUCCGUCUCUCUCUCUCCCUCUGUCUCUCUCUCCCUGUGUCUCUCUCUCCCUGUCUCCCUCUGUCUCUCUCUCCCUGUCUCUCUCUCCCUGUCUCUCUCUCUCCGUCUCUCUCUCCCUCUCUUUCUCCGUCUCUCCCUCUGUCUCUCUCUCCCUCUCUCUCUCUCUCCCUCUGUCUCUCUCUCUGUCUCCCUCUGUCUCUCUCUCUCCGUCUCUCUCUCCCUCUCUUUCUCCCUCUCUCCCUCUGUCUCUCUCUCCGUCUCUGUCUCCCUCUCUCUCUCUGUCUCUCUCUCCCUGUCUCUCUCUCCCUCUGUCUCUCUCUCUCCCUCUGUCUCUCUCUCUCCCUGUCUCUCCCUCUGUCUCCCUCUCUCCCUCUGUCUCUCUCUUCCUGUCUCUCUCUCUCCCUCUGUCUCUCUCUCUCCCUGUCUCUCCCUCUGUCUCCCUCUCUCCCUCUGUCUCUCUCUCUCCGUCUCUCUCUCUCCCUGUCUCUCUCUCCGUCUCCCUCUGUCUCUCUCUCCGUCUCUCUCUCCCUCUCUCCGUCUCUCUCUCUCCGUCUCCCUCUGUCUCUCUCUCCGUCUCUCUCUCUCCCUCUCUCCGUCUCUCUCUCUCCGUCUCUCUCUCUCCCUCUCUCCCUCUGUCUCUCUCCGUCUCUCUCUCUCCCUCUCUCUCUUUCUCCCUCUCUCCCUCUGUCUCUCUCUGUCUCUGUCUCCCUCUCUCUCUCUCUCUCCUUCUCUCUCCCUCUCUCUGUCUCUCUCUCCCUCUGUCUCUCUCUCCGUCUCUCCCUCUCCGUCUCUCUCUCUCCCUCUCUCUCUCUCUCCCUGUGUCUCUCUCUCCCUGUCUCCCUCUGUCUCUCUCUCCCUGUCUCUCUCUCUCCGUCUCUCUCUCCCUCUCUUUCUCCGUCUCUCCCUCUGUCUCUCUCUCCCUCUCUCUCUCUCUCCCUCUUUCUCUCUCCCUCUCCCUCUCUCCCUCUGUCUCUCUCUCCCACUCUCUCUCUCCCUCUUUCUCUCUCCCUCUGUCUCUCUCUCUCCGUCUCCCUCUCUCCGUCUCUCUCUCUCCCCCUCUUUCCCGCUGUCUCCCUCUCUCCUCUCUCUCUCCGUCUCUCUCUCCUUCUCUUUCUCCCUGUCUCUGUCUCUCUCCCCAUCUGUCUUUCUCUGUGUCCCUCUCCCCAGUUCUCUUUAUCUCCUCUCCUGCCUCAUCUCCCUCUCCUCACUGUCUCUGUCUCUCAUUCUCCCUAUCGUUCUCUCCAUCUCUCUCUCCUCCUUCUCGUCUGUUUCUCUCUGUCUCUCCAUCUGUCUCAUCUGUCUCUUCCUCCCACCUCUUUUCUGUGUCUCUGUCUCCUCCCCCCAACUUUCUCUCAGUCUCCCUCAGCACCCCCUGUUUCUCUUUCUUACUCUCCCUUUUCUCCCCAUCUCUCUGUCUCUCCCUGGCUUUGUAUCUCUGUGUCUCUUUCUCUCUGUCUUCUUCUAUCUCUGUCUCUCCCCAUCUUCUGUCUCUGCCUCUCCUCCACUUCUUUCUCUGCCUCUCCCCCACUUCUCUGUCUCUCCCCCACUUCUAUCUCUGACUCUCCCCCACUUCUCUGUCUCUCUCUCCCCCACUUCUCUCUGUCUCUGUUUCUCCCCCACUUCUAUCUCUGUCUCUCCCCCAUUUCUCUCUCUGUCUCUCCCCACUUCUCUCUGUCUCUCCCCAUUUCUAUCUGUCUCUCCCCCAUUUCUAUUUCUGACUCUCCCCCACUUCUCUGCCUCUGUCUGUCCCCCACUUCUCUCUGUCUCUCUCCCCCAUUUCUAUCUCUGUCUCUCCCCCACUUCUCUCUGUCUCUGUCUCUCCCCAUUUCUAUCUCUGUCUCUCUCCCACUUCUGUCUCUCCCCCAUUUCUAUCUCUCUCUCCCCCACUUCUCUGUCUCUGUCUCCCCCACUAUCUCUGUCUCUCCCCCACUUCUCUCUGUCUCUCCCCCACUUCUCUGUCUCUGUCUCCCCCACUUCUAUCUCUGUCUCUCCAUUUCUCUCUGUCUCUGUCUCUCCCCCACUUCUCUCUGUCUCUCCUCCACUUCCUCUAUCUCUGUCUCUCCCCCAUUUCUCUGUCUCUGUCUCUCCCCCACUUCUCUCUGUCUCUCCCCCACUUCUAUCUCUGUCUCUCCUCUACUUCUCUCUGUCUCUGCCUCUCCCCCACUUCUAUCUCUGUCUCUUCCCCAUUUCUAUCUCUGACUGUCCCCCACUUCUCUCUGCCUCUCUCCCACCAUUUCUCUCUGUCUCUGUCUCUACCCCCAUUUCUGUCUCUGUCUCUCCCCCCAUUUCUCUCCAUCUCUGUCUGUCUCUCCUGUCUCUGACUCCUCCUCUCUCCCCAGCUCCCUGGACGAAGCCCUCCGGGGCCUCUGCGGUCCCUGCUGAAUAAAGCUGUUUCUGUCCUCACCUCUCUCCCUUCUGCGCCUCCUUCUUUCCUUCCUCACUCCUCUGCCUCUCAGCUCGGCCCCCCAGCCCUGAUCCUGGGUAUAGGGGGUGGGAAUUCUGGAGCUGGGGGUGGGGGCUCCUCCCUCCCAGAGACAGAGAUGGAUGCAGAGAGAGAACCAGAGACAGGCACGGAAAGAGACAGAGAGAGACAGAGCGAGACAGAGACAAGAUGGGGGCCGUAAGCUCAGAAAUGAGAGAGACAGCAGGUCACAGAGACACAGCACGUGAGAGACAGGGAGACACAGAGAGACUCAGAGACAGACAGACCAGACAGCGCCCCCACUCCAAUACACACAAACAGACACAGGGGACAAGAGCCGGUCAGGGCUGGACAGCCUCCCCUCCCCCUCCAGGCCAGGCCAGGCCAGGCGGUGCCAGGCCCAGGACAAUGGGCCCUUGUCAGGGCUCCGGAGGAGCCAGCCAGCUGGGGAGGCCUGUGGGCUGGGCCACGGAGGAGGGUCGGCCACAGCGGCUGCUGGGUUGGGGAAGGUGCACCUCCUGCGGGCCUGGCCCACGGCCUCCACCCUCAGACUCUCCUUCUCCCCUGGCCUCCCUUCCUGGGGUCUCCACCUACUCCCAGCCUGCUUUCUCUGCUCUGCCUGGGGAAGGGGACAGGCAUUUAUGGAGUACCUGCUGUAUGCACCCAAAAUGCCUCCUCGCCUCUCCUCACACACUCCGUCUCCCGCCACGGGUGUGCCGUCCUCGGGUGUGCCCGCCUCGGGUGUGCCCGCCUCGGGUGUGCCGUCCUCGGCGCCCUCUACUUGUUCCUCCUGUGCCUCUGGCUCCUUCCAUGGAAGAAACGGGCAAUUAUUAAGCACCUGAUGCUUGGCAGGCAAUUCCCCUAACCGCGUCUGCACUUUCCAUCCUUCUUGCUUUCCUGUCCCUUCUGCCCCAGUUCCUUUCUCUUUCUGAUUUGCUUGGUCUCUCCUGGGAAGGAAACGGGCAUCUACUGAGCAUCUGCUAUGCGCCGAGGAGUUGAGGAACAUGGCUCCUCUCUCGCUACCUUCUUUCCUCCCCCCACCCCCAUUCCUUUCUUUCUUUUUUUCUUUCUAGGACAGGGUCUCACUCCGUCGCUCAGGUUGGAGCGCACACAAUCGCAGCUCACUGCAGCCUCGACUUCCUGGGCUCAAGCAGUCCUCCCACCCCAGCCUCCCAAGUAGCUGGAACUCCACACACCACCAUUCCUGGCUAAUUUUUGUAUUAUUAUUAUUAUUUGAGAUGGAGUUUUGCUCUUGCCGCCCAGGCUGGAGUGCAAUGGCGUGAUCUCAGCUCAUUGCAACCUCCACCUCCUGGGUUCAAGCGAUUCUCCUGCCUCAGCCUCCCGAGUAGCUGGGAUUACAGGCACCCGCCACCACGCCUGGAUAAUUUUUAAGUAUUUUUAGUAGAGACGGGGUUUCACCAUGUUGGUCAGGCUGGUCUUCAACUCCUGACCUCAGGUGAUCCACCCACCUUGGCUCCCAAAGUGCUGGAAUUACAGGAAUGAGCCACCGCACCCAGCCUAAUUUUUGUAUUUUUUGUAGAGACAGGGUCUCUCUACGUUGGCCAGGCUGGUCUCGAACUCUUGGGCUCAAGCGAUCCUCCCACCUCUGCCUCUCAAAGUGCUAGGAUUACAGACAUGAGCCACGGCGCCUGGCCCCUUUCUUUCCUCUCUAUUGGUGUCCUCUCCUUUCUGACUUUCUGCUCUCUCCUGGCAGAGGGAGUGGACACAUUUUGAGCACUUACUGUGUACUAAACACCUUACAUACCUCUCUCCUCACUCUCUUCCUCCCCGGUCCCUCUUCUGUCCUUUCCUUGUGUUUCUGAGCUCUCUGCCCUCUUCCAAGGCAAGGACUACAUUUAUUGAGCACUUCUGGUAUGCAAGCAAUUAUGUCCUUUCUCUCCUCUCCUCUUGCCCUUCAGUCUCCACUGACUCCACCAGUCUCUGCUUCUUUCUGCUCUGUGCCAGGGAAGAAAAUGGGCAUUUAUUGAGUACCUAUUGUGUGCCAGACAGUUUUCUUAUUCUCCCCUAACCCUUCACUUCGCCUUCUUCCCUUAUCUCUAACUUCUUUCUGUCCCAUCGGCUCUUUCUCGGGGACAAAGACAAGCAAUUAUGGGGCACCUACUGUAUGCCAGGCAAUUAACAUCCCUCCUCAUCUCCUACCUCUUUCUCGCUGCCCCUCUUGCUCUGCCAGCUUAUCCCCUUGCUGUUCUCUGGGUCCUUUUCUGGGGAAGGGUACAGGUGUUUAUUGAGUGCCUCCUGUGUGCCCCAUGGUUUACCUGCAAUGCCCCCUCCCUGCGUAUCCUCUCCUCUGCCACACUCCUCUCACUGAUCCCUCCUCCCUCUGCUCCUCCACCCCCACGGAGGCCUCCUGGGCCAACCUUUUCCUCUCAUUCCUGUCUGUGCCUUCAUUUCUGUCUUGUUCUCUUGCUCCUCCAAGGACGACAAUGUGCAUUUAUUGAGUGCCUCCUGUGUGCCCACCACCUCACCAGUGUACUUGUUCUCAUUUCCUCUCUUCUCCCUGCCUCCUUCUCUCCACCAGCUUCUCCCCCUCCUCUCUGCCCUGCCAGCUCUUUCCUGAGGGAGGAAAUAGGCAUGUAUUGAGUGCCUACUGUAUGCUGCCGCUUCAUCUACACUGUCUGCUUGCCUCACAGGCUCUGUUCUCCCUUCUCUCCUUUUCUCCUUCUCUCCGCUUGCUCCCUUCCUCCUGGCUGCUUUCUCUGUGCUUGCUGCCAGGGAGGAGAAUGGGCAUUUAUUAGGCACCCACUGUGUAUUAGUCACUUUACAUAUAUUGUCUCCUUCCCACACAACAGUCUCUUCUAUUCUCUCUGCUGGAGUUUCCUCCUCCUCCUCCUCCUCCUCCUCUCUUCCUCCUCUUCUCCUUCCUCCUCCUCUUCCUCCUUCUCUUCCUCCUCUUCCUCCUCUCCUCACUCCUCCUUUACUUUCUCCUGUCUCUUGGGGAAAAGAAAUAACACUUAACAAACACCUACUGGUCUGCUUCACACUUUCCACCCGUGCCUCUCUCUCUUUUUUUUUUUUUUUUUUUGAGAUGGAGUCUUGCUCUGUCGCCCAGGCUGGAGUGCAGGGGGGCAAUCUGAGCUCACUGCAACCUCUGCCUCCCGGGUUCAAGCGAUUCUCCUGUCUCAGCCUCCUGAGUAGCUGGGAUUACAGGCACCCACCAACAUGCUCGGCUAAUUUUUUGUAUUUUAGUAGAGACGGGGUUUCACCGUGUUGCCCAAGCUGGUCUCGAACUCCUGAGCUCAGGCAAUCCACCUGCCUAGGCCUCCCAAAGUGCUGGGAUUACAGGCGUGAGCCACCGUGCCUGGCUCUAUGUCCCUCUCUUUAGGCUGCCUCUCCUUCUGCUUUUGCUCUGCGGGACUUUCUUCUUCUCCCUUUUCAUGUGGUCCUGAAGGGCCUGGGCAGUUAUUGAGCACCGACUGUGUGCCAGGCUUUUUAUAGAUACAGCCUCCCCUUCUCACCCUCGAUUCCCCCUUUCUCUUCCUCUCUCUGCCUUCCUACUCUCUGUGCUCUCCCCUAGGAAAGGGGAAGGGCACCAAUUGAGCGCCAACUGUGUACCAAGGCGACUCUCUUUAGCCCCUUCCUUUCCCCUCAGCCGCCACAGCCCUAGAAGGGGUGGCCAGCUACACCGUGCGGGGCUGCAGGAAAGAGGAGGAGGAAGGAGGAUGUGGGCUGCAGCCUGAUUUCUCCCUUGGAAAAAUAUGUGGACGACAAUGGCUACUCCCUCCCAGGUCAGGGUGGGGUGGGGGAGGCUGAAGGAGGCCUGGAGGGACUCUAGGAAGGAACACUCUAGAAUCUGAGCCUGAGAGGCAGCCCGUGCCCAUGGAGGGGACGCUUCUGCUGCCAGUCACCACACUGGAUUCAAGCCUGAGCCUCCUUCCUCCACCUCCCUCUCCCCUCCGCAGGCCUUCCUGCCCUGCAGACACUUGGCGGGUGGUCCCUGGACUCCUCACCACCUGAGGGAGCAGAUGAGGAAACUGAGGCUCGGGCGGGAAAGAGGAUUUGCCCCUCCCCAUUCUCCUUCUACCUCUCCUCUGUGACCCCCUUCCUCUGUCUCUCUCGCCCUCUCCUCUCUCCCAUUCUCUGAAUCUCUCCCCCAACCCCUGCUCCCACUCUGUUCCUGUCUCUGCAUGCCCCCAAAUUCCCUUUUUUUUUUUUUUUUUUUUUUUUUGAGAUGGGGACUCGCUCUGUCGCCCAGGCUGGAGUGCAAUGGAGCGAUCUCAGCUCACCGCAACCUCCUCCUCCCUCUUACUCCACCUCCUCCUCUUUCCUCCUUCCUCAUCUUUCCUUCUCCUUCUUCCUCCUUCCUCUUACUCCCUCCUCCUUCCUCCUCCUUUCCCUCUUUCCUCUUCCUCCUCCCUCCUCCUCCUCACCCCUCCUCCCCCUUUCCUCCUCCUCUCCCUCUUUCCUCUUCUUCCUCCCUCCUCCUCCUUCCUCUUUCCUCCUCCUCUUUCCUCCUCCUCCUCACCCCUCCUCCCCCUUUCCUCCUCCUCCCCCUUCCUCCUCUUUCCUCUUCCUCCUUCUUCCUUCUCCUCCUCCUCUUUCCUCUCCCCCCUCCUCCUCCCCCUAUCCAUAACACACACACACACAGGCUGUCCCUGUCCCUGUGUGUCCUCUCUUCGGCUGGAUCCUCAGUGUUUCCUCCUCUCUAGGUCUUGCACACACUGCUCCUCCCUUGGGCGAUAUUCCAGUCCUCCACACGCUUCCACCCAGCCCCACCUUUUCCUGAUUGUCCACCUUGUGGCUCUCAGCCUUUCUGGAAUCUUCUCCCUUGUCCUCCAGACUGCCACCCCCCACUGUCUUCUGCCCUCUCCUUCCCCUGCGCUAGGUCCUCCUCCUCAUCCCCGCCCUGUCAUUUCCUCAUCGUCUGUACCCAACCCCCAGAGGAGGCGCUGAUGGGGCCCCAGUCUCACUGUGCCCGUCCACAGCAACCGACUGUGUCAGAAGGAGACAAGGGGGCCGGGGACAAGGGGCAGCACUGUGGUUAGGGCCUGUGCCCUUGGUCUCCCUCCCUCCUCUGCCUCCUUUGCCUCCAGUUUCUGUCCCUUGGAUUUGCCUCUCCUCUUUCCUCUCACUCCUGCCUCCCCUUCCUCUCCCUGCACCUUCAGUGAGUUCCACCUGGCUUCCCCUCCACACGCUCCUGGUGGCUUCUCUUUGGCGCUUCUCUCUCUCUCUCUCUCUCUCUCUCUCUCUCUCUCUCUCUCCCUGUCUCUCCCAUCUCUCGCUGUCUCUGUCUCAUUUUCUCAGUCCGUCUCUGUCUCUCUCGCUCUGUCUCUCUCACUCUCUUGCCAUCAUUGUCUCUGUUUCUCUCGCUGUCUCUUUCUUUCUCACUCUCUCGCCAUCAUUUUGUCUGUUUCUCUCACUGUCUCUCUCUGUCUCUCGCUUUCUGUCUCAUUGUCUGUCUCUCUCUGGCUAUCUCUCUUUUACUGUCUCUCUCUCGCUGUCUGUCUCUCACUCUCUCUCUCGGUCUCCCUCUUACUGUCUCUCUCACUGUCUCUCUUGCUGUCUCCCUGUCUCUUUCUCUCACUCUUUCUCGCUAUCUCUGUUUCUCUCAACGUCUCUGUCUCUCUCGCUGUCUCUUUCUCUCUCCAUCUCUCGCCAUCUCUCUCUCCCUCUCUGUCUCUGACACACUCUAUUUCUCCCAUCCUCCCCUCCAUGGGGCUUUCCUGUUUCCUUUCCAUCCUCACCUUCACUCGCUCUUUCCUCUCCGUUUUCUCCCUCACCCCACAAGCUCUCUCCCCUCGCCUCUAGUCCCCCAAGUCCUUCCCAGCUCCGCCUCUCCAUGCCCGCUCCUUCCUUUCCAGUUCCUCUGCCAGUCAUUGUCCUUGACCCUUCCCUCUCCUCGUCUCUGCUCCCACCGGCUCGUCUGAGCCUGGCGCUGACAGCCUUCUCCCCACCCCGCCCAACCCCACCCCCGACUCCCGCCAUCCCCUCGCCUCCUGGUCCCUGUCCCCCUCCCGCGUCCCCGUCUUCUUGAUGACUCCAACAGCUGCAGCUGCAGAGGCCCCGAGGCCCCUCGGAGGAGACUGGGCAGGGAGGGCUCCUCCGCAUGCUGGGAUAUUUUUAUCCUGCCUUGGACGAUCGGGACGAUUGGUCCUGCAAUCUGUUUCACCCUUUAAGAAACUCAUUUCAUGUCCUGCCAGGUCCUGGGACCAUAAGCUCGCGUGUCUCCACAGUUGCACAUUCCCGUCCGUCUGCAGCUCAUUAUCUGGGCCACAAGGACGUUACCCCAUGACUUGGAAGGACGCGCCAUCACGCAGGAGGUCACAAAGUGGACGGCAGGAAAGCCAGCCUUCCCUCUUCUGCCUUCCUCCUCACCUCUCUCUCUCUCUCUCAGUACUUUGUUCUUGUUAAUAUCAGUGUAUCAAUGAGCCUGGUUUUUUGCCUUUUAUUAUUAUUAUUAACAUAGUGAGCACAGGCGUUUCGUACUCUGCGUCUGAUUUUCCAGCAGCGAAGCCUCUGCCAUCCGCCCCACCGUCCCGCUGGCUCUUGCUCAUUGUCUUUCCCUUCCCUGCUUGCCUGCUCCCUCACGCCCCUGCUCUGCGUGUUGGAUGUGAAAAGGAUGUCAGGGACUAGGCGGAGGGCAUGUUCCUCCGAGCCCAGGCUGCACCUUGGCACAGUGGAGGGUCCACCCACCCCAGGUAGCCCAGGUGAGGCCCCUGGGUCCCCCUGUCACUCAGGCUGUCCACAUGAAAGUCCAGAUGUCUCCGACCAACAGAUCCCUGGGAGAAAGGACGUGACGCUGCCGCUUCACCGGGAUGGGUUCCCACGUCCCUCCGCGUUGACCCACAGCUUCCUUACGGUCUUGUAUGUAGUUUGAUGCUUUUAAGGGCCGGCCACGGUGGCUCAACGCCUGUAAUCCCAGCACUUUGGGAGGCCAAGGUGGGCGGAUCAUGAGGUCAGGAAUUCGAGACCAGCCUAGCCAAAAUGGUGAAACCCCGUCUCUACUAAAAAAUACAAAAAUUAGCAGGCACGAUGGCGGGCCCCUGUAAUCCCAGCUACUUGGGAGGCUGAGGCAGGAGAAUCGCUUAAACCCGGGAGGCGGAGUUUGCAGUGAGCCGAGAUCGCGCCACUGCACUCUAGCUUGGGCAACACAGCAAGACUCCGUCUCAAAAAAAAAAUUGUUAAGACUAUUUUAUCCAGGUUCCUACUUGUUUUCAGUUAUGGGGUUGGGGGCGGGGUGGGAGGGCAAUGACCUGACACAGUGUUACCGGAUGAGGAGUCUGGUCUUGCUUUGCUUUCUCUGCCUUUUCUGUCUUGUCAUUGGCUCUCCCGCCCUCCUACACGCACCCCGCCUGUUGCUUCUCUCAUUCUCCAGUUCCCUUCCAAUCCCCCUUCACUUCUCUUUACUCCCCUCCCCCAGGUCAGUGCUCGGCGUUUCCUCCCUCUUUCUGUUCUCCCAUCCUCCCGGGCAGCUGUCUCUGUCCUGUUCUGUCUCCUGUUCUCCCGCCCCUCCAGCUCCUUCCCUUCCUCCUUUCUCCUGGGCCCUUCUCUGCCGCACCUUCCACAGCUGCUCUGUUCCUCCCCAUCCUCGUCUAGUCCCAUUCGUUGUCCUUUCUCUCCCUGGGUCACAGAGAUGGCCCCGGGGUGGCUGCGCCCUGUUGAGGCAGGGAACGUUUCUGCUGCAUGGCCGAGUUCCCAACCUGGACCCGCCGGGUCUGGCAGCCUGUCCCCGCAGUAGCCUGGGCUGUGCCCACGACACCCCCGCCGCCCAGCUACCCGGCCCUCUCCGUGCCUCACACUGGCUCCUAACCUGCUUCACGUUCCUGCUUCCUGCCCCGGUCUCUGGGCUGACGCUGUCUUAGGGGCGCCCCCUCCUCAGCUGGAGGGGCAUGGUCCUCUGUCGCUACUUCCAAUCCUCUCUCCCUUCUUUCUCUCCAUAUUGCUCUUCCACACUCAUGCACCUCUUCUUUCCUUUCUGCUUUUUUUCUCGCUCACUCACCCGCUGGAGUGCAGUAGUGCAGCCUCCACCUCCCAGGCUCCAGUGAUCCUCCUGCCUUAGCCUCUCAAAGUGCUGGGACCACAGGUGCGAGGCACCAUGCCCGGCCUGUUCUUUUCUCUCUGCCCUUUUUUGUAUUUUUUCCUUUCUCCUUUCCUUCUUCCCUAAUGUCUGUCUCUCUCCUUCCCUUCUUAACUUCCCUUCUCUCUCCAGCCCUCUCCUACCCUCCUUUUCUCUUUUCCCCUAUCUCCAGCCCUCUCCUACCCUCCUUCCCUCCCUCUUUCUCUCUCCCCCUCCGCACCGCUCCAUCUCCCUCUCGGUCCAGUCCGCUGUCUGUGCCCCCUCUCUGUUCCGUUUUCUCUCCCACCCUUCUUCCCUCUCCCAUUUCUUCUCUUUUCCCCUCUUCCUGUUCUCUUUUUCUCGCUGUCCUCUCUGUGGCCACCCUCCUUUUUCUCACUUCUGCUCUCCCUGUCCGGCUCUUCUCUCUCCUCUCUCCCUUCUAGCAGAUUCUCUGGCUGUUUCCUCUCCUCUCCCUCUGUGCUCCUCCCUCCUCCUCUCUCCUCCCAGCCACUAUCCUCUCUCUUCACCCUCUUCUCUUUCUGUCUCAUGGUCUCCUCCUAGCUCUUUUCCUUCCCAGUUCCUAGCUCUCUCCUUUCUCUUUCCUCUUCUCUGGCUGGAGCUCCCCGCUCCUCCAUCCCUCCCUCUCCCGGGGCCCCCUCUCCCCCACCCUCUUCUCCCCCAACACCCUCUCCCCCACCCACUUCUCCCUAGGACGCUCCCUCCUUCACCCGUUUCUCUGCUUCCCUCUUCUCCGAGCUCACCAGCCAUGGCACCCACCCUCUCCCUCUCUUCCUUCCUGUCCCUUUUUUCACCCCCUCGUCUUUCUUUCCUCUUCUGUUUUUUCUUCUCUUUCCACUUCUGACCCCCUACACUGUUUCCUUCUUUCUCCCUCUUCCUCUCUCCCCUCCUGCUCUGGCCAUCUUUUCUUUUUUUUUUUUUUUUUUUUUUUGAGACGGAGUCUCGCUCUGUCGCCCAGGCUGGAGUGCAGUGGCGCAAUCUCGGCUCACUGCAAGCUCCGCCUCCAGGGUUCACGCCAUUCUCCUGCCUCAGCCUCCCGAGUAGCUGGGACUACAGGCGCCUGCCACCAUGCCCUGCUAAUUUUUUUUUUGUAUUUUUAGUAGAGACAGGGUUUCACCGUGUUAGCCAGGACGGUCUCGAUCUCCUCACCUCGUGAUCUGCCUGCCUUGGCCUCCCAAAGUGCUGGGAUUACAGGCGUGAGCCACCGUGCCCGGCUCUUUCCUCCUGCUUUUUUCCUACACUCUCUCCUCCCUCCUCUCCUCCCUCUUUCUCCUGUUUGAUUUCCACCUCUUUUCUCUCCUCUCUCCUCUGAAUCUGCCUCUUCCUCUUCUCACCUCCCUCUUCCUUCCCUGUCUCUCCCCCUUGGGUCUCUCUUCCUUCCCUCUCUCUGGUUUCUCUGUCUCUGCCCUGUCCUUUCCUUUCCCUCCUCUCUGGACCUGUCUCCUCUCCUGGCUCUCUCUCCUUCAAGCUCUCACUCCCACUGGCCUCCCUCCCGGGAGCCCCGUCUCCUCCGUCUCCAGGUGGCCCCUGCAUCCCUGCCUGGUGGGCCUUUGCCUCCCUCUCCUGUUCCUGCCUUGCCUGCUCCCAGGUUUCCAGGUCCUGACCAGGAGGCAGGAGUCCAUACCGAGGCCCAAACAGGCUAGCCCUGAGCAGGGCCCCCAAGCCUGAGGCCCAGGAGUGGACAGACCUUUGUGACACCCAUUCUCUCUUCCUUUUCCAUCUGUCCGGAACUCUGGACACUGCCUGGAGGAAUCAGGCCUGCCGUAGGCCCAGGAAGGCGGAAACAAAGACGACGCUCAGAGACAGGAAGCAACUUGCCUAAAGAUACACAGCACAAAUGAGAAAAUUGGUGCCCAAUGUUUCUGAAGACCAGCAACUGCUAAGACAGAGACUUCGAGGGAACCCGACCUUGCCUGAAGGACCAACAGCGCCCCCUGCAGGACACUUCCCUCCAUUGAGAGAAGCCACAGGCGCCGGCCUGAGGCAUUCUGAGUGCGUGGAAUCCUCUAUUACCACCUCCUGGCAAAGAACGGAGCUGCAACCCAGCUAUAUGAGACACCGAGAAUGAUCUCAACAAAAAGGAACAGUGACCAGAAUGCCUGGGGGAGGAACAGGGGAUACUGGGUGGAAGGAGGGGAGAGGGAGAAGUUGUAAUAUUUUGUAAAAAUGAACAUUUUUACUCCUAAUCAAUAUACAAACAUCAUGCUCAGCAAACUUCUUGGUAUGAAACUUCUGAACUUCACACAUUUUCAAGUCAUUCUAUGGGUGGGUGGAUUGGCUCCCAUGGAAAUGCAACUGGGACUGCACAUGGGAAACAAAGGAAAAUGGAAUUUGGUUCACACAAACCUGUUUGGGAGAUUGCAUUUCCAGGAAAUGGGCCAAAUUGAGUUUGUUUCCUUUGUAACAACAUUGUUGUGCCUUGCUGACUGGAAGGUGGGUACAAAUAAAGGAGGAUGGACUGACAGCUGAAGAGGCACCAGUAAUUAGCCCCUAAUCCUUACCAGGGAGUCUCUCUGAUGGGUUAAAGAAGCCUACAGAGGCCAGGGGCGGUGGCUCACACAUGUAAUCCCAGCACUUUAGGAGACUAAGGUGGAUCGCUUGAGGUCAGGAGUUCAAGACCAGCCUGGCCAACAUGGUGAAACCCGGUCUCUACUAAAAAUACAAAAAUUGGCUGGGUGUGGUGGCACACGGUUGUAAUCCCAGCUACUCAGGAGGCUGAGGCAAGAGAAUUGCUUGAACCUGGGAGGUGGAGGUUGCAUUGAGCCAAAAUUGAGCCACUGCACUCCAGCCUGGGUGACAAGUGAAACUCCAUCCCACAAACACACCUGCCCCCCACCCACCAAAAAAAAAGGAGCCUAUAGUUUCCAGUAGACAAUUUGGGGUUAGUAAAGAAUUUUACAAAAUACUAAAUGUAGUCUUGUAUAUUUUAGGAUUGUUUGCCAUGCAACUAUGUACUGGGAGCACCUAAAUGCCCACAUGAAACCCUAGGCUGGGAAGAGGAAGGCUUUCGCAAUGCCACGCAGCCGAUAACAUUUUCUGGUGGCAGGAAAUGGGAGGGAGCAACCCCUCCUGGAGCAUUUACCUUGCCAGGUGCUCUCACAUCUUAGACCAGAAGUCACGAGGCUAGGAUGAGGGUCCAGGAGGCAGAGAAUGAGGAUUGAGUUAGGGUCAGGACAGUGGACACAGAGAGGAGGAGACACAGAAGGAUGGGUUGGGACUCUAUCCUGGGGGAGGUGAGAGGCCACGCGGAGGGCUGUGAGCAGGGGAGUAGUGAGGUCAGCUCUAGUGUCAGGAAGCUCUCCAUUAGGGGGAUGGACUGAGGGGGGGAUGUUGGGGGCUGGGAGGCCAAAGAGGAGGCUGGGCCGAUGGUCCAGGUGGCAGAGGACGAGGCUUGAGCUGGGACCAAGGCCAUGGAGACAGAGGUGACGGGAUGAGGCCAGGAAGAACUUUAGGGGUAGGUAUGGUGGUGCAUAGGAGAACGUGAUUGGGACAGGGCAGUGCUCUGGUCCAUGAGGUUGGGCAGGUGAUGGCACCACUCACUGGAACAAAGAUCCCUGGAGGAGCACCCGAUCCGGGCAGGUGGGAGGCACUGGCUCCUUUAGUGGCCCCUGAGGCACAUCCUGGGGAAGGAGCCCAGGAGGCAGCUGGGGCCAUGAGUCUGGAGAUCAGGGGUGGGAUCUGAGCUGGAGAUGAGUUGGGGAAUCGCUGGUGAAGAGGGGCUGUCUGGAACCUCCAGGGUGAAGGGAUGGGGCAGACACCUGGAGUAGCAAGGGGGAAGCAUGCACCACCAUCACACACACAUCCCUCUCCCCCAGCAAGGUGGGGCCCCACCGGGCCAUGUCUUCCACAGACACAUAUGUGUGCAAAAUGAUGCAGCAGAACAGGGGGACUCCUGCAGUGCUGCUUAGAACUACUCAAAUCCAGCAACACACUCUUACACCAGAGAUGGAAUAAGAUGGCACCUUAUACCAGAGAUGGAAACUGCCCCAGCUAUGUCAAAAGAAGGUGGGGGAAAAGAGCAACACUUGCAAAACUGUUGACAUGUGCAUCUGCUUGUUUCUGUGGAGAGUAUCUGCAGCAUACCAGGGGACAGAAAACUCAGGCUGCCUCCAGGGAGGGGAAGUGGGUGCUGGAGCCCAGAGUGAGCAUACAGUUUCUGGACGUGGAUUCCACUGCAUCUUUUGUCUAUUCUGGAGACAGGGUCUCACUCUGUCACCCAGGCUGGAGUAAAGUGAUUCAAUCACAGCUCAGGAAGCAUCGAACUCUGGGGCUCAAGCGAUCCUCCUGUCUCAGCCUCCCAAACAGCUGGGACUACAAGCAUGAAUCACUAUGCCUGGCCAACCUACUCUAUCUUUUGAGUUUCAUACUUCAUCCCUGGAUAACCCGGUCAAUAAUCAGGUUUAUAAAGAUCCCAAUGUUUAACCCAGGAAAAAUAAGAUGUUCCCCCAGUGCCGGGGUAGAAGACAUCUGCAGAUCAGACACAGGGACCAGGACUCCAAGUUGGGAACACUUCCCAAAAAGCAUCAGUAGGCCUGGCGCAGUGGCUCAUGCCUGUAAUCCCAGCACUUUGGGAAGCUGAGGCAGGUAGAUCACCUGAGGUCAGGAGUUCAAGACUAGCCUGGCCAACAUGGUGAAACCCUGUCUCUACUAACAAUACAAAAAUUAGCCAGGUGUGUUGGCGGGCGCCUGCAAUCCCCGCUAUUUGGGAGGCUGAUGCAGGAGAAUCGCUUAAACUCAGGAAGCGGAGGUUGCAGUGAGCUGAGAUCGUGCCAUUGUACUCCAGCCUGGAUGACAGAGCGAGACUCUGCCUCAAAAAAAAAAAAAAAAAAAAAAAAAAAGCAUUAGUAAAUAUUUCUGGAAUCCUCUAGGAAAAGAAUGAAGCAGGAUUCACAUGGAAUGAAGACAGAAAAAGCAUAAGCUAUCUCCUGCAGGUGGAGAAAGAAACAGAAGUUAGCAAUGCUAAGACUAUCUUCUUUAUUAAAGUUACCAAAAAUAGGCCAGGCGCGGUGGCUCACGCCUGUAAUCCCAGCACUUUGGGAAGCCGAGGCAGGUGGAUCACUCGAGUCCAGCAGUUCACGACCAGCCUGGGCAAUAUGGUGAAACCCCGUCUCUACAAAAAAUACAAAAACUAGCUGCGCGUGGUGGUGCACGCCUACAAUUCCAGCUACUCAGGAGGCUGAGGUGGGAGAAUCGCUGAGCCUGAGAGGUGGAGGUCGCAGUGAGUCAAGGUACCGCCACUGCACUCCAGCUUGGGUAACAGAGCAAGACCCUGACUCAAAAACAAAAAGAAGUGAUGGGAGGGAAGGCAACCUCCCACGGUGCACCACCUCCUGGUCUUGACAGUCGACUCACAAACCAUCACUUGUUUAUAAACGCGUUUCCGAUCUGCCAUCGUAAUUCCAUUUUAGUCAUGCAUCCCGAGAUCAUUCAAACCACACCCAAGAGAGACUGGACGACAGCACUCACUAGGGUGCUAUUUAUAACCAUACAAUGCAGGAGGCUAGCUGCGUGUCGAUCUGGGGGACAGUUUAAUAAACUGCCACACAACACAGCUGAGCUCCACACAGCCACAUGAGGAUGGGGACAGCCAUUCCUUGGGUUUCUGAAUAACGUAUCAAGUGAGCAGUGAAUUUCAAUGUAUCGUCGAUGUUUUUAAAUAGAC